GUUUGCGCUGAAGGCCUAUUUCCUAGGCUACACGCGGGGGACUUGUUCCUCAUCUGGUUGCCUAGGGGAAAGUCCCCGGACCUUGGGCAGAAAGUGCCACGUGCUUACGCACGUAGACCCUCCCCACCCUUCACACUUAGCCCGCUAAGAAGCAAACCCACUCUCUGGGAUGGGAAGCUAAGCGGCGUGUUGUGGGACGUCAUCCGUCAGCUGUCAUAGUGACACAGGCAGUGUGCACCAACCAAACCCGGCUGCAUUUAAAAAAAAAAAAAAAAAAAGGAGCCAACACCGCAAA
rnacentral:RNase_MRP_RNA from 1 species